rnacentral:lncRNA from 1 species
GUGGCGGAGGGUGGGGCGGAAGAGCAGAAGGAGACUGGGAAAGGCACUGUCGGUGACAUCACCGAUAGGGCGUUUCUAUGUAGAUGAGGCAGCGCAGGGGCUGCUGCUUCGCCACGAAGGAUUUCCCGUGCCGUGGGAGCGGGUUCAGGACCGCUGGUCGGACCUGAGAGUCCCAGCUGUGUGUGGGAAGCUCAGCUGUGUAAUUUGUAGUAACGAAGCAGAAGUUACAACGAAAAGACAAGUUUUCCUGUGCUUGGCAGGGCCCCCCUCCCCCCCACCAAGGCCUGCAGUGGAUAGAGCCUAGCAGAUCCUGGACAAUACUAUCCUAAAAGCUACAUCUCUGACAGUGAUUUCCAGCGACUUUGUCAACACGGUCCGCCCCCAGCAAGUAUAAGAGGAAAAACAACAAAUGUCUUUACUGCCUUGUCUUUCCCCCUUGCCACUUGUCAUUAUUCAAGUUUUGUAAGUUCCUGAUUUCCAUUCAGUGCAGCUGCAAGGUUACCAGCUGUGCUUGCGUUGCAAGACCUGUCACAGUUUGAUUAACUGCCUUCUUUCUGCUUCUGUAAGCCCUCUUGCCUGCCCCGCGAGUUUCACACCAUCAAAUUCCUGCUGCACCAUUCAAACUAGCCAACCCCCUUUCAGAAGUGUGUAUAAAAGUCAAGCCCCCUGUCUUUCUUCGGGGCUCAUGCUAGGCCCGAGUGCAUUCAAUAAAAUCCUUCUGUUC